AUAAGCGCCGGUAAGGUGAUAUGAACCGUUAUAACCGGCGAUACCCGAAUGGGGAAACCCAGUGUGAUUCGUCACACUAUCAUUAACUGAAUCCAUAGGUUAAUGAGGCGAACCGGGGGAACUGAAACAUCUAAGUACCCCGAGGAAAAGAAAUCAACCGAGAUUCCCCCAGUAGCGGCGAGCGAACGGGGAGGAGCCCAGAGCCUGAAUCAGCAUGUGUGUUAGUGGAAGCGUCUGGAAAGGCGCGCGAUACAGGGUGACAGCCCCGUACACAAAAGCGCAUGUGCUGUGAGCUCGAUGAGUAGGGCGGGACACGUGGUAUCCUGUCUGAAUAUGGGGGGACCAUCCUCCAAGGCUAAAUACUCCUGACUGACCGAUAGUGAACCAGUACCGUGAGGGAAAGGCGAAAAGAACCCCGGCGAGGGGAGUGAAAAAGAACCUGAAACCGUGUACGUACAAGCAGUGGGAGCACCCUUUGGGUGUGACUGCGUACCUUUUGUAUAAUGGGUCAGCGACUUAUAUUCUGUAGC
rnacentral:rRNA from 1 species